GCUGUGAUGGCCGAGUGGUUAAGGUGUUGGAUUUGAAAUCCAAUGGGGUUUCCCCGCGCAGGUUCGAACCCUGCUCUCUGCG
rnacentral:tRNA from 1 species